GCGGCUGUCGGUCCUCUGCGCCCACGGUCACAUUGAUCCGGGUGGUGGCGGAGGGGGGCUGAGGGUCCUCCUCGUCGUUUCGUUGUGGGGUUUUUUUUUUUCGUUGUUUUGGGGUUGGUUUUUUUUUUGUUGUUGUUGUUGUUCUGUUUUUAAAAAGAUGCUCAACUUUUUAAAAGGCACUUUUAGAGACGUCACACGCCGUGGGAGCGCCCCGGGGAUGGGAGCUGUACGUUGUCUGUAUAUCAGCAGUUAUAUAAAUAGAAAUCAUGUAUUUGUGAGAUACAAAACAAGGCAAAAAAAAAAAAAAAAAAAGACAAAAAAAAAAAAAAAGUACCCACAAAAACUCUUCUUCUCCUUCAUAAUGCACAUAUUUUUAUAGGGAAACGAUGCUGUUUUUUGCAUUACGUGUGACUCCGCGACCGGGUUGUGUUUCCUUGGGUUUUAUGUGGAACUGAUUAUUACAGCCGGUCAUUUUCCAACUGUUUCUGCUCUUCCUUUGCUCUCCUCCCCCCUCAUCAUCCCCACCAUCAGCCCACAGCUCCUCCUUUCGCCGCCCCUCUCAUUUUUCUCUUGUACUUUAGAGGUUGUGUCCUAACAACGGGAAGGAACCAAAUCACUACUGAAUUGUAGCCAGUGCAAUAAUAAGUUAUUCAUUCUUCUCGUCUGUACGAUGGUCCUUUCGCUUGUUUUAUCUUCUUUUUUCUUCCUUCUUUGAACAGAUAUCCAGGUUAAGCUGCAAUAACCCGAAGCACCGUGCACAAAUAAGGUGUCCUGCAUUACACAGAGACUAAAAAAAAAUAAAGGGGGAAAAGUUAAAUUUGAAGAGAUUACCAAAAGAAAAAAAAAAGACGACAAAAAUAAAUAGUAAAUUAUUUAAGAAAUGUAUUUUGUUUCCUGCAGUUCGAAGUAAGUUAUUGGUCCUGUAUGUCGAGGCGCUGGUGGUGCUGGUCCAUGUGAGCAGGUGGGAUCUGUUCUCCUGGAGGAACGCUGUGAGAUCGCAGUGGUGGCCGUAACCCCCUCCAUCCGCGGGGUGGCAAUCAGCACCAGUGAGGCUGGGAAAGCCCUCUCAGAUCCCCCACCCCACCCCACCAUGGCACCAAACCACGUCCCUCAGUGCCACAUCCCCGCGGCUCUGAACACCUGCGGGGUCGGUGUCCCCAUCCCCGGGCAGCACUGCCAGCGCAUCGCCGCUAUUGCAGAGGAGGAAUUGUUCCUAACACCACCCCGAACCCUCACCCACAUGGACGUGGUUCCUCUGCCACACUCCAAAGCCUCUUGAGUUCAAGUCAACGCCAUUUUAGUAUGUUUUAAUAUACACACAUUUAGUGUUGGGGUUGAUUUUCCAUUCUUAGCCUCCACUCCCUGCCCCUUCCCUGCUCCCCAGCCGGGCCCUCUGCUCGGGACAGCUUCACCACAGAGCACUGACAUCGUGAGUCGGCCCCAGCACUGCACACCAGCAGCAAAAAGGCACGCAGAGAAAACCAACCAACAACCAACAGAAAGAAUUAAAGCAACCGUUUUCGUUUGGUUCGUUCCACGCCGCCUCAUAUUUAUGCAUCCACAUAUAUCUUCUGUUAUUUAUGCAUUCAUUACUCAAAAGGAAAUGUAUCUUGUUUCACAUGUAUUAAACUGUAUAAACUG
ensembl:lncRNA